CACCUAAUUAUUUUACUUUCUUCUUAUUUUCAUUAAUUUUCAUUCUUCUCUUUUUCUAGGCUAAAGGUGUCAUGUUUUUUUUGUCAAUGGUAAAAGGGUGUCACGUAGACUUUUACAUUUUAUAUAUUUUUUGCCUAUGAAGUGUGAUGUCGUGCCUAUGAGUUUUUUUUUAAUUUCAUUUUAGAAAAAUAUUAAAAAAAAAUUAAAACCAUACUAAAAUUUAAAAUAACAUAAACUUAAAAAUUACAAUUUAAAAUUCCUAAAAAUUAAAAAAAAACAUGAAAAUUAAGAUUACAUUGAAAACGUAAAAAAAAUAAAAAAUAAAUAAAUAAAUAAACAUAACGUUAAAAUUUAAAAACCUAGAAAAAAUCAUCGAAUUUUCAAUUGCAUUUUGUUAUAUAAGAAUAAGUAUCUAUAGCGACAAAGCCGAAAGGGACGACGAAGGUCGUCGCUAUAGGUGGAGCUAUGGGGACGAUUUGUCGUUCCAAUGGGGUUGACCAAAAUUGUGUUUGACCUUGAUAUUUGUAAACGACUUGGCAGGUCUCAAAUGGUUAGCGGGAAUUUUCCCAGGUUCCUGAAAAGUAAUAGGGAUGACAAUUCGUCUCAACUAAAAAAAAAUUAAAUAUAUUUCUUUUUUAAUUUUGAAGCUAGGUCUCUUCCAUCAUUCACAAUCGCAUCUCAUUCACCCUUUUCUCUCUCGAUCGAACGACCCCUACUUGACGCCGACCACCGCCACAACGACGUUUUCCGGUUCCAUUGAUGCCUCCGACCUCCACAACGACCACCGCCUUCACCGUCUGUGACUUGCGGCCUGCUCUCUUCACGAGGAAAAUUUGAGCUCCAUGUGUUGAUUCCAACUCCCUGUUUUGAGCUUGGUGUUGAUUCCAACUCUUGAUUUCAUCAAUAGUUUCAAUUUCCCUGAUUCCAGCUUUCUCUCUUUGUUCAUCAACUCUCAUUUUCUCUAGACCCGCUUCAAGGAAAGUUCUUUCACUUUGCACAUGCUCUAUGAGGACAUUGUACAUGUCAGAAUAUGGUGUUAAAAUGUUAAUGCAGAACCCUAUGAGGCCAUGACAUCCAUUUUGGAGGCCACGAAAGAAAAUAAAAGAAGCCUUUUCUCUAAAAGUUACAAUCUAGUGUUUAUUGGAGGUAAUGGAGUUAUGGAGGUAUGUAUUAUUAUGUGAUUUUGAUUCAAAAGUUAGAGGAAACAAAGAUAAUCUCAGUUUUAGCUUACUUAAGGGGGUGUUCGGCACGGAGCGUUUGAGAGCUUCUAGCUUCUAGCGUUUGACAAAACACUCCGUUUAAAACAAAAAGCCUCGUUUGGCACUACAAGCUUCUAGCGUUUAGUUUAAUCAAAACGCUUCAAAUCCAAAUGCUACUUCAUGUAGCGUUUAACAAAACGCUACAAGCUACAAGCUACCCGCUACUAGUUAGUUUUGCCGAACAUGCCCUAAAUGUGUUUGUUGGCAUACUAAAACUUACUAAAACGUGACAUAUAUUUUCAAUUUAAUGUUCAGGAUGAGAUUUUUUAAGGGUUUGUGGACCAUGAUUACCAAAGUCAGAUUAUGAGGUUAUGGAUGGUAAAUAAUAUGUGGAUGAUCAUUUGACAAAGAUAUUUGAAGCAUGUAUGGUUGUCUUUUAAGGUUACUAUAAUUAUUUGGCUGAAUGAUUUAUAUUAUGAUGAAGCAAAGGACUUAAUCUUAGAAAGGAAAUUAAAAUGACUUGAAGAGACCGACCAACAUAACACAACAUUCAAAUGUGAAAUUCUUUUCCAAAAAAUGUCUGAAGCUGUAAUUACAAUUUCUCCUACCUAAAAGUUUCAAAGGCAUCAUUGUGUAAAAUUGUAUAUAUAUAUAUAUAUAUAUAGGGUUAAGUUCAAAUGAGAACACAAUUUAAUGUGAGAACGUGAGAACGCUACUUUAUGUUACUAUUCUACUAUGAAUUUAAUAUUUAUAGUAUUGUAGUAAUUAUAAUAUGAAUAUAUUCAAUUUUAUAUUGUUA